rnacentral:misc_RNA from 1 species
GAAAAAUAAGAGGAGACUUUUCAAUUUAAAUUUUCCUUAGUACAUUUUUUUCCAAGUCAACACUCAUUAAUAACAGUAAAAAUAACUAAUACAAACAUCAUUUUCAUCUUCAUGCAUCUCAACAAGAAAACGAUAAAUUUUAAAAAGUAAAAAGAGGAAAGUAACUUUAAAAGGUCUUACAUAUAAAAUUCACAUAUUUUUAUUGGAUUAAUUAUCCAAUUAGGUUGAUGCCUUGAAUAAUGAGUGAAUCAGCUAGAACUUGGUUAGCUGCUUGAGAUGGAUGCACACUAUCCCAAAACACAUAUUGUGUUGCAUUGCUACAUGUUCCUGGUGAUUUUGGGUUGCAUAAUAAUGAUGUUGUCUCCACUGUUCCUGUUCCACAACACCCUCUGUUUGCUUCCGCGAAUCCGUGGUCUGAUGGAGAUUUGACGAGGUCAUAUAGGGGUUGGAAGAUGUCAAAGACAGCAAUCUUAAGUCCAGGAAGUUGCUUUUGUAACUGUGUUGCAGCUGAAUUCAUUUUCUUGUUGAAUUGUUGGGCAUCUGUAUUGAUCUUUGACACACAUCCAUUCUCAUGAAAUCCGAAUAAUGUUCUAGCAGCUGGUAGACAGCCCAAUGGUGGAAGUGAAGUUACCCCAAUUCUUCUUGCUCCUUGCCCAUACAAAUCCUUGACGGAGCUAGUGAAUAUGCCGACAAGAUAAGAACCAUAUUGAUCAGGAGUGUAGAGUUUGUUAAGAUACGGAUUGAUGUAGUAAUUCUGUAAGAAAUCACUGCUUCCUGCACUUAUUAUGUAAAGUGCAUCCUUUAGGAUGGAUGCCGCUUUUUGACUGCCUGCAACUUUUGCUAGCUUGGAUUGAUACUCCUUGUAGUAUUGCAUCUGUGUUGAAAAUGGAAUUGCAUGGUUGAGGAUGGCGGUUUUAUCAUCAAAUCCAGCAGCAGCAGAAGCGAAAUUAGUACCAAUAAGGAGAUUCUUUCCUGAUGCUUCAGGGCUCAAAUAUGCAGCCGGGUAAGUAGUGAACCCAAGUGUAUCAGCAGUGAUAUCCGUAGCUAAUUUUCCAUUGCAGAAUCUACCGGUGGGUUGACGAGUGACAAAAUCCCUUCCAUAAGGUGGAUAAUUAGCCUUAAAAAGAGUAUGAAUGUAGUCAUUGUUUCCUACAUCCACAGCGGAAUCGCCAAAUGUAAUGAUUGCCGGAACAAGUGUUGUGGAACUUUGAGCAUUAUUCAGACGGAUGUGAAUAAAGCCCAAUAAAGCCACAAAGAAAAAUGCCAAUUUUUGCUGUCUGUAGAUACCCAUAUUUCCAAAACAAAAC